CAGGCCUAAGGACAGCUUCAAUCACGGAGUUAUAAGACUCAACAAACAACCGAUGUUCAAAAGCAGACAUACUAUGCAAGUAAAAAAAAUCCAAAGAGCUGAUUAUUGACUACAGGAGGAAGAAACCAGAGGUCCAUGAGUCAGUUCUCAUCAGGGGUUCAGAGGUGGAGAGGAUCAGCAACAUUAAAUUCCUCAGCAUUACCAUUUCGGAGGACCUGUACUGGUCACAACAUGAGAAGUUGAUAGCUCAAUGCUCAACCCAGAAUGGAUGGAAAGUGUGCAAGAAGAUGACCAGAUUUGAACCCAGGACUACUCUCCUCUAAGUCCGGUGAAGAUGCCACUACACCACCCACCAGCUAAUCUCCAUUAAAGCAAGUUUAGAAGUUCCUCCUUUGUUGCACAAUUAUAGAGCAGCUGGCAGACAGAUGUGCUCCAGCAUAUACAAGGGGCUCUUCAGCAUUAACAAUGGAUUGCAUCCACGCCAAUCAUGUGGAUGCUGUAGUUACAGGAGCUGCAGCUCCUAACGCAGGGCUGCUUCACAUAGUAAGUGGUGGGCGACUUGUUCUCUUUCCUCUGGUCUCCAUGCAUUCCCCUUAUAGACUGCAGGGGCUUAAAGCCCUCCCCCCACCCUCCAACAUGCACCUUCUCCAUUCAGAGGGACCACAGAGCAGUGACUCCAAUAAGUUGGUGAGGAAUUUUGUAUUUUUUUCAAUGUGACUUUGAGAAUAUCCAUAAAGCAUAUUCUUUUUGCAGAAGUGUAAAUCUUUCACAAGUCUGCUGUUGCCCAGGCAAGUGAUGUGGCUUACCCACUGUAGCCUAAAGUAAAUUUCUUACAUAUCACACCCAUGAUUUAACUUAAUGUCACCCUGGAUUAGAUUUGCUGGGAAAAGAAUGGUCCUGCAGUAGCAACACCAUUAUUAGUGUGGAAGUUGUUUUUAGUUAACCUCAGGAGAUUAAAAGAGUAGUGAAUUCCCAGAAUUUGCUUUUGAAUUAACACCAGUUGUGGCAUCUUGCCCCUAACCUCUCAAUUAAUUUUUUAAAACAUGCUGAAUUCAUACAUUAAUUGCCAGAUAGAACUCGUUGCAGAUUGUUAGAGCUUGAACCAAACAAUACACCCUUUUAAUAAUGCGACAAUGACUGUGAGGUAACAUCUCUGGCACAGAAAUGGAACAACUUAAAUUGAUCUAUCUCA